GACAGCAGUCGCCGCGGUAAUACGGAGGGUGCAAGCGUUAAUCGGAAUUACUGGGCGUAAAGCGCACGCAGGCGGUCUGACAAGUCAGAUGUGAAAUCCCCGGGCUUAACCUGGGAACUGCAUUUGAAACUGUCAGGCUGGAGUCUUGUAGAGGGGGGUGGAAUUCCAGGUGUAGCGGUGAAAUGCGUAGAGAUCUGGAGGAAUACCGGUGGCGAAGGCGGCCCCCUGGACAAAGACUGACGCUCAGGUGCGAAAGCGUGGGGAGCAAACAGGAUUAGAUACCCCGGUAGUCCCUGUCUCUUAUAC
rnacentral:rRNA from 1 species